CACGUAGGGUGCGAGCGUUGCCCGGAUUUAUUGGGCGUAAAGGGCGCGUAGGCGGCUACGCACGUCCGUUGUGAAAUCGCUCGGCUCAACUGGGCGGGGUCAGCGGAUACGGCGUAGCUGGAGCAAGCUAGGGGGCAAUGGAAUUCCCGGUGUAGUGGUGGAAUGCGUAGAUAUCGGGAGGAACACCAGUGGCGAAGGCGGUUGCCUGGAGCUUUGCUGACGCUGAUGCGCGAAAGCGUGGGGAGCGAUCCGG
rnacentral:rRNA from 1 species